CGCAUGCUACUGAUGCAUGAUUCUCCCAAAAGAAAAGGACAUUGACAAGUAUUAACACAUACAUGAAUGAUAUUAGUUUCCUAAGCAUUUGUAGGCAUUUAUGAUGAAGUCGGUUUCAUUUGCUAGUUAUUACGGGGGUAGUAUUUUCUUGAGAAUCUCUUGUGGAUAUAUAAUAUAACAAGUAUUAAGAUACGGCUUACUUUUUGUUGAUUAGUCUUAUGAAUGCCAUCUUCUAUAAUUAAAAACAAAACGUUGAUUAUGCUUUUAGGAAGAACUAUGUACAUAUUUAUAUUCCCUGAAACUAGAAAGCUAUGUUAGUCUUUUAAAGCAUGCCAAUCUUUCAACAAAAAGUCAAACAAAAAACAAUAUAACCUACCACAAUAUAAAGUAUAUACUAAUACACAUCUAUUAGAAAGGUCUAGAGCAUCAAGGGUAAAAUCGUCCAAAUAGGCAAAAUUUCAAAGAUUUACAAGGGAGACACAUUUUCAAAUCCAAACAACCAAAACUGAGGCUAACAGGAAAAUUCCGUCCCAAAUAGGAGAAUACUUCCAUUACAGAUCUUGGACAGGGUCACAGAAUUCAGAAGAGGAAAGGGUAUCUAAUUUCGAUCUUAACUUAAGCUCUGCACAUGGACAAGUUACAACUAUUGCUGCAAAACUGCUGCAUACUGAUGAUUCAAGUUCUAUGGGUCUAAAUUAGUGAAAUCUACUGCAAUGGAGAAGUUACAAGUAUGGAAAGCAAAGCUGAAAAAGACACUUGAAAUCACAAAAACUGAAAUUGAUUCUCCAGGGGCAAAAUUUGUGAAAUGUGAGCAAACUGAAAUCGACAUACAUACAUACCUGGGGUGUCGCUGAUGGUGGUGUGAGCAGUGACGGUUGUAGUAUGGUGCAGCGAUGGUGGUGGUACGGGGCAACAUCGGCGGUGGUGUGCGACAGCGACGUUGGAGGGCAAACCUGCAACCGUUUUGGUCAAUGUGGGUCGCCGAUAUGAGCUGAAAUCAGAGUUCGGAAAUCACAAAACUCGAAUUGGUUGCUUGAAAUCAGUCGAGAAUCACCGGUGGAUGUGUGCUGCNUAGUUUUUAUUGCUAUAUUAAAUUUAUAAUUUCUACGGAAUAUUUAUUCCCUACAAUUCAGUCAAAAAUCUAUUGCUAUAUUAAAUUUAUAAUUUAAAAAAUAUCCAAAUUUGCAGCUAAAAAAAACCAAAUAAAUAAUUAAAAUAAUAUUCAAAUACCAUUACAUUCAUUACAAUUAAAAUAGUCACUAACAUACCAUUCAUACAUUCAAAUACCAUUACAAUACCAUGACAAAAGCUACGAACUAGUCAAUAACAUAACAUUAAUUUAGUGUUCUAAAACAAAAACUAAGAACUACUUGGUGGAUUACCGGACGGAUUGAUUUGUUUCAUAAAGGCUGCCAAUUGUCGUUGCACUUGCAAUUCCAUUUCAUUUCGCAUUUGUUGCAUUUGCAAAUUCAUUUCACUUUGCUUUUCAUCCAUGGCUUGUUGCAUGUUUGACACUUGUUGUCGCAACUCAUUUACCUAAAUAUAGCAAGACAAACACAUGCAGUUAGUAAAUGUAAUUCAACUUUAAACCAUGAUAGCAAUGUACUUUACUUUUAAUUUCAUCUAUAAUUAGUCAAAGAAGGAUAAAAUUUUCAAUUAAUACAUGAAUAUUAGAAUAAUACUAAAUUCAUAGAAUGAAUAUUUGGAAUUGAGUGUCCUCUUAGUAUCAAUUCUUUUGAAACUAAAUAGUAGUAGCCUACAUAUAAUCUGUUGAUGAAAUUGUAGACUUGGUUGAAACUAAAUGACAUUAAUUUUGACAAAACCAAUUUUGAAAACAUUAAAAGAUUAGCAUUAUAAAAUGAAUCAUUUACAUCAAAAACUAAAGGCUAAAAAAAAUAUAUUUGAGUAAUUUAUGGUAGCCAAAAAUAGAUGCGCAUGCUACUGAUGCAUGAUUCUCCCAAAAGAAAAGGACAUUGACAAGUAUUAACACAUACAUGAAUGAUAUUAGUUUCCUAAGCAUUUGUAGGCAUUUAUGAUGAAGUCGGUUUCAUUUGCUAGUUAUUACGGGGGUAGUAUUUUCUUGAGAAUCUCUUGUGGAUAUAUAAUAUAACAAGUAUUAAGAUACGGCUUACUUUUUGUUGAUUAGUCUUAUGAAUGCCAUCUUCUAUAAUUAAAAACAAAACGUUGAUUAUGCUUUUAGGAAGAACUAUGUACAUAUUUAUAUUCCCUGAAACUAGAAAGCUAUGUUAGUCUUUUAAAGCAUGCCAAUCUUUCAACAAAAAGUCAAACAAAAAACAAUAUAACCUACCACAAUAUAAAGUAUAUACUAAUACACAUCUAUUAGAAAGGGCUAGAGCAUCAAGGGUAAAAUCGUCCAAAUAGGCAAAAUUUCAAAGAUUUACAAGGGAGACACAUUUUCAAAUCCAAACAACCAAAACUGAGGCUAACAGGAAAAUUCCGUCCCAAAUAGGAGAAUACUUCCAUUACAGAUCUUGGACAGGGUCACAGAAUUCAGAAGAGGAAAGGGUAUCUAAUUUGGAUCUUAACUUGAGCUCUGCACAUGGACAAGUUACAACUAUUGCUGCAAAACUGCUGCAUACUGAUGAUUCAAGUUCUAUGGGUCUAAAUUAGUGAAAUCUACUGCAAUGGAGAAGUUACAAGUAUGGAAAGCAAAGCUGAAAAAGACACUUGAAAUCACAAAAACUGAAAUUGAUUCUCCAGGGGCAAAAUUUGUGAAAUGUGAGCAAACUGAAAUCGACAUACAUACAUACCUGGGGUGUCGCUGAUGGUGGUGUGAGCAGUGACGGUUGUAGUAUGGUGCAGCGAUGGUGGUGGUACGGGGCAACAUCGGCGGUGGUGUGCGACAGCGACGUUGGAGGGCAAACCUACAACCGUUUUGGUCAAUGUGGGUCGCCGAUAUGAGCUGAAAUCAGAGUUCGGAAAUCACAAAACUCGAAUUGGUUGCUUGAAAUCAGUCGAGAAUCACCGGUGGAUGUGUGCUGCAGCAGGGGUUCCGAAAUCGCCAAGCAAGGGUUUUAUUUGGGUAACAAAAAAAAUGGUCAUUCCUACAUUGUGAAAAUGUGCUUCGAAAUCGUACCUGGGGUGUCGCCGCUGGUAGUGUGGGGCAGCGACGGUGGUGGUAUGGUGCAGCGACGGUGGUGAUACGGGGCAGCGUCGGCGGUGGUGUGCGACAACGAUGGUUGGUUGGCAAACCUGCAACAGUUUGGUCAAUGUGGGUCGCCGAUCGAUUGUUUGGAAAUCAUAGAAGUCGAAUAGGUUACCAAAAAAUGUCGCCGAUGUACGUAUCAGUCGAGAAUCACCGGCGGAUGUGUGCUGGUUCGGAAAUCGCCAAUCGCCGGUGUAAGCUAGGGCUUUGUUUGCGACGAGCUAGUUACGAAUAGUGAAGCGGGAAACAAUUUGGGUUUUAGGAGGCGUAGCAAAUCGGUAGCAUAUGGAAAUCGUAGGAAUUUCGUAGGUAUAAACAAAUUGGG
rnacentral:lncRNA from 1 species